GAAGGAACUCCCGGUGUGAUAUUCGAAGUUACAAUUGGAUAGCAUAUCACAGCAGUAGUUACCUACC
rnacentral:pre_miRNA from 1 species